rnacentral:rRNA from 1 species
UACAGAGGUGGCAAGCGUUGUUCGGAAUUACUGGGCGUAAAGCGCGCGCAGGCGGUUCUUCAAGUCAGAGGUGAAAGCCCAGAGCUCAACUCUGGAAUGGCCUUUGAGACUAGAGAACUAGGGUACGGGAGAGGUGAGUGGAAUUCCGAGUGUAGAGGUGAAAUUCGUAGAUAUCGAGAGGAACACCUGCGGCGAAGGCGGGUUGCUGGGCCGACACUGACGCUGAUGCGCGAAAGCCAGGGGAGCGAACGGG